UACGGAGGGUGCAAGCGUUAUCCGGAUUCACUGGGUUUAAAGGGUGCGUAGGCGGGCUUGUAAGUCAGUGGUGAAAGCCCGGGGCUUAACUCCGGAACUGCCGUUGAUACUGCAAGUCUUGAGUACACUUGAGGUGGGCGGAAUACAUCAUGUAGUGGUGAAAUACUUAGAUAUGAUGUAGAACACCGAUUGCGAAGGCAGCUCACUAAAUUGUAACUGACGCUGAGGCACGAAAGCGUGGGGAUCAAACAGG
rnacentral:rRNA from 1 species